rnacentral:rRNA from 1 species
CAAUAGCGUAUAUUAAAGUUGUUGCAGUUAAAAAGCUCGUAGUUGGAUUUCUGGAUGGAGCGACCGGUCGGGCAUUAAUUUGUCUGCACUGGAGUCGGUUCCGUCCAUCCUCUUGGAAAGUGCGUGGGGCAUUAAGUUGUCUGGCGUAUGAUCCAAGUCGUUUACUGUGAAAAAAUUAGAGUGUUUAAAGCAGGCCUUCGCCUUGAAUACAUUAGCAUGGAAUAAUAAGAUAGGACUUUGGUCUAUUUUGUUGGUUUGCAGACCGAAGUAAUGAUUAAUCGGGAUAGUUGGGGGUAUUUAUAUUCCGAUGUCAGAGGUGAAAUUCUUAGAUUUUCGGAAGAUAAACUUAUGCGAANGNAUUUACNAAGGAUGUUUNCAUUA